UACGAAGGUGGCAAGCGUUACUCGGAAUUACUAGGCGUAAAGCGCAGGUAGGCGGUUCGAUAAGUCCUUUGUGAAAGCUCCCGGCUUAACUGGGAGAGGUCAAGGGAAACUGUCGAGCUAGAGUGUGGUAGAGGUAACUGGAAUUCCCGGUGUAGCGGUGAAAUGCGUAGAUAUCGGGAGGAAUACCUAUGGCGAAAGCAGGUUACUGGGCCAUCACUGACGCUGAGCUGCGAAAGCUAGGGGAGCAAACAGG
rnacentral:rRNA from 1 species